GAUGAACGCUGGCGGCGUGCCUAAUACAUGCCAGUCGAGCGAACGGACGAGAAGCUUUCUUCUCUGAUGUUAGCGGCGGACGGGUGAGUAACACGUGGAUAACCUACCUAUAGGACUGGGAUAACUUCGGGAAACCGUAUCUAAUACCGGAUAAUAUUUUGAACCGCAUGGUUCAACAGUGAAAGACGGUCUUGCUGUCACUUAUAGAUGGAUCCGCGCUGCAUUAGUUAGUUGGUAAGGUAACGGCUUACCAAGGCAACGAUGCAUAGCCGACCUGAGAGGUUGAUCGGCCACACUGGAACUGAGACACGGUCCAGACUCCUACGGGAGGCAGCAGUAGGGAAUCUUCCGCAAUGGGCGAAAGCCUGACGGAGCAACGCCGCGUGAGUGAUGAAGGUCUUCGGAUCGUAAAACUCUGUUAUUAGGGAAGAACAUAUGUGUAAGUAACUGUGCACAUCUUGACGGUACCUAAUCAGAAAGCCACGGCUAACUACGUG
rnacentral:rRNA from 1 species